rnacentral:snoRNA from 1 species
CCCCUCUCAGGGUCACACCUGGAGAGUUUCCAGUACUCUACCUGUCUUGGCUACGGGAGGGAGAGUCAAGUGGAGCCCCAUCCAUUCCAUUCCUAGCUUUGGCAAUGGCUAGCGGGUGGAAGGCAAUCUGCUAUAAGU